ACUGGUAAUGCGACAUUACAGUGCUUGGCUAGUGGCACUAACUAUCCUAUUGGAGAGACUGAGUUUGUUAUUGGACGUUCUCCUGCCUGUUCACUUGUAAUUGAAGAAAAAUCUAUUUCAAGACAACAUUGUUUUAUAAAUAAAUCCAAUGGCCAAUAUUUUAUUUCUCACAAUGGAACAGAUAAUGAAACUUAUGUAAAUUGUGUGCAAAUUUCUAAUGACCAAAAUGAUUUACAAGUUUUAAAUCAUGGAGAUGUCAUUUCCUUUGUAGAUGGGAAUGGAAAUAUUAAUUAUCUGUACAGAUUUAUUUCACAAACAUGUACAAAUAAAAAAUUGAAG